UCCGCGGCGGCGGCGGCAGGAGCGGCGGCGGCGGCGGCGGCGGCGGCAGCUCCCUUCCCUCCGCCGAGGAGCCGGCUGGGCCUGGCGGGGCUUCCCCCCCCGCCGGCCCCCGCCUCGCCUCGGGCCCGUCAGCGGCGAUGGAGUUGGAGGUGCCGGACGAGGCGGAGAGAGCCGAGGCGGGGGCCGUCCCUCUGGAGGCGGGAUGGACUUUGGAGAGCGGGGCGGCGGCGCCCUCGGCGACAGGUCUGGUGACACAGAAGAAGUCAACUGUAAGUGAGUCUCCAAUGUUGCCUGGACAAUCCAGUGGACAUGGGAAGAAGCUAGGUCAUCGGGGAGUUGAUGCUUCUGGAGAAACCACCUACAAAAAGACCACCUCCUCUACUCUUCGGGGGGCCAUCCAGUUGGGAAUUGGCUACACUGUAGGCAACCUGAGCUCCAAACCAGAGAGAGAUGUCCUCAUGCAGGAUUUUUAUGUGGUGGAGAGCAUCUUUUUCCCCAGCGAAGGAAGUAACCUCACUCCUGCCCAUCACUACGCCGACUUCAGAUUCAAAACCUAUGCACCUGUGGCUUUUCGGUAUUUCCGAGAGCUCUUUGGUAUUCGUCCUGACGACUAUUUGUAUUCCUUGUGCAAUGAACCACUGAUUGAACUUUCCAACCCAGGUGCCAGUGGCUCCCUUUUUUAUGUCACUAGUGAUGAUGAAUUCAUCAUUAAGACUGUGAUGCACAAGGAAGCAGAGUUCCUGCAGAAGUUGCUUCCUGGCUAUUACAUGAAUUUAAACCAGAAUCCCCGGACCCUGCUGCCUAAAUUUUAUGGGUUAUACUGUGUUCAGUCUGGAGGGAAGAACAUACGGGUGGUGGUAAUGAACAACAUCCUUCCUCGCUUAGUAAAGAUGCACCUUAAGUUUGACUUAAAAGGCUCUACAUACAAGCGACGGGCAAGCAAGAAGGAAAAGGAGAAGUCCAUCCCCACCUAUAAGGACCUGGACUUCAUUCAGGAUAUGCCUGAAGGGCUGAUGUUGGAUGCUGACACUUUCAGUGCACUGGUGAAAACUCUUCAGAGAGAUUGUUUGGUAUUGGAGAGCUUUAAGAUCAUGGACUACAGCCUGCUGCUGGGGGUACAUAACAUUGACCAGCAGGAACGGGAAAGGCAGACUGAGGGAGCCCAGAGCACAUCAGAUGAGAAACGUCCAGUUGGCCAGAAGGCACUCUACUCUACAGCUAUGGAAUCUAUCCAGGGUGGGGCCGCCCGGGGGGAAUCUAUAGAAACUGAUGACACGAUGGGUGGGAUCCCAGCAGUGAAUGGCCGUGGGGAGCGUCUACUACUACAUAUAGGAAUAAUUGACAUCCUGCAAUCUUACAGAUUCAUCAAGAAGCUGGAGCACACAUGGAAGGCUCUUGUCCAUGAUGGGGACACUGUCUCUGUGCACCGCCCCAGCUUUUAUGCUGAGAGAUUUUUCAAGUUCAUGAGCAACACCGUCUUUCGGAAGAACUCCUCUCUGAAAUCAUCACCAUCCAAGAAGGGUAGAACCACCUUGCUGGCAGCCAAGACUUCUGGACCAACUGCUGCCUUCUCUGCUAGCCAGCUUCCUAAUGAGAGAGAGGAAACGCAAUAUGACUUACGUGGAGCCCGCAGUUAUCCCACGCUGGAAGACGAAGGUAUUAACAUCCUUCCCUGGCCUAGAAUAAAAAGCAAUCAAAACUACUAUUUUUCAGAACUCUCCCCUGGACCAGAACAGCAGGAUCAGUUGAAACUAGGAGAGACUGAGCAGCAUGUACAGCCGUAUCCAAAUCUGGCCAGAAAAAUACAGACCCUGACAGAUGGCAGACCUGACUUAUUGCCCUGUACUCCUCCAUCAUUUGAAGAAGCAACUACAGCCUCCAUAGCUACAACUUUGUCAUCUACAUCCCUCUCUAUCCCUGAGCGAUCUCCUUCUGAGACCUCUGAGCAUCCUCGAUACAGGCGCCGCACACACUCCUCUGGUCAUGAUACCCGAUCCCAUGAUGAGGUCCAUGUGGAAGAGGAUCUCCAGCAGAUCACCGUUGAAGUUGAACCCAAAUGUUGUGUUGAUGGCAUCGCUCCCAAAGAAGAGGCUAAAGGGGAAGAGGCUUCUUCUGCCGGCAUUAUGGUCACCCCUCCGACCACCGUGGAAGUGGAAACCACCAGCCAGGCCUCAGAGCCAGCCAGCCAGGCCUCAGAUGAAGAUGAGGCACCUGUCACAGACAUCUAUUUUUUCACGGAUGGGAGGUACUGGAUUUACUCUCCCCGCCAUCGCCGACUCCGGUCCAUCGAGCUGUCCCCCUCCAAGACUAUGAACAUUUUAAAGGAUAAGCAGCUUCGCCCAAGUCAAUAAAUUUGCAACAGGACAUAAGAAGAGGAGCUGCUAGUCUAGAGAUGAGAAAACAGGCUCAGAGAGAUCAGCUGGCUUAUUCAUGCUCCAACAACUAAUGCUGAAGGUAGGAUGCAGACCUAGGUAUCUCCUGAUUCCAUGUUCAGUGUUUCCCUUUCCACUACAUUGAAGCUGAAACCCCGGCACCAAGGGGAGAAACACUGCUUUCUUGGCUGAUGACCACCUCUAGGCAAGUAUAGGCUCUACUCUCCUGACCACAAAGUUGGCUCAUUUCUUAGCUGAGACUUGCUCUCGAGCUAUGGGGCAGCAACCACCCCUUUCAUCCUAUCCCUGUCACCGUAUAUAAGGAAACUCUUAAUUAUUUCUGGGCCAAAGGCUAGGGUCUGUCUGGAGGACAAGGGGAGGAAAAGGAGUUGGUAUUUACAUUGAGUAGAAAGGUCACCUGAAACUUGACCUUUCCUCAUUCCAUCUAGGUGUGGCUCAGGUGAGGAGAGAGGGACCACAGCAUCCCCACUGGAAGCCCAGUUUUCCCUGUUUUCAAGGCAGGAUUGGUGGGCAAGGCUGAGAUCAACAGACUGGCAGGGAUUCCCUGCAAGCCAUAUUUUACUCAUGUCAGGUUUAAACUGUAUUAUUAGCUAUCCUAAGGGAUCUCUCUGGUUUAGUAUUACUAGCCAUGCCAGAAUAGCCAAAGCCCAUUCCUCUUUAUCUCUUGCAGGACACCCUAAGUGUCUAAGCCAAUACCAGAGCACUAGCUUUCCUUCUGACAUCCAGCUUCAAUUAACAGGACCUCCCUCCCAGUUCCCCAGGAAAACAGUUGCAGCAGAAUCAAUAACUUGUUGAGCCUGAUGUCACCUCUUAAUUAAACACAAGUUAUUACCUUCUGAUUAAGAAGUAGAAGAGAAAUCCCAGGUCUGUAGCCUGGUCUCACUACAGUAAUUUCUAUGCAGAUGUGAGGCCUGAAGCCAAGCCUAGUCCCCUCUCCAGGUUGCCGUGUUACCCUUGUGUUGAUAUCCUGCCCAUCAGGGCUGGCCAUGAGGGAAUUUGCCGACUCGCUGCAGCACAGGACCUCCUCCUCCAACGCGCAUCCCACUGGAACCCUGCCUGAGCCUCCCGUCCUUGUCCUUUCUUCCCACUGACCAACUCAACCGUGACCAUCCUGGGACCAAUGGCAACUGACUGAAAAGACUCAACUCCCUAGCCCAGAGUGCCCAGAAGAGAAGAAAUCAGUGGGGUGAAAUCGAAGUGAAGGCAGUUUUCCCCCUGGGCAUUCCUGUAAACUACCUAUAAGUGUGUGAUACUGUGAACCUUUUUAAUUUUUAAAUCAUGUAUUUAUUUUGGGUCUUGAAUCUUUGCACACAGACACAGCAGCACAAAUGUGCUUUUUUAAAAAAUCUGAUUAAUUGCACUUUCAGUUCCUCUCUGUACUACAUGUAUAUCAUGAGAUCACGUGAAACCUCACUGGAGUUCUUGAGAGGGCAAUUCACCUUGGCUUUGUGGGUGGGCUGGGUGUGGGUUUCAGUUUGUGUUUGGUCAGGGGAAAGACAGGGUCCCCUGUGUGGCACCUCCAUCUGAAAUCUGUGCUCCCAACCUCUGGACUUCUGAGUUGCCAGUGACCUGUAAAGUGAGUUGAGUCAUUGACAUAGGAAAGAGGGAAGGAAUUGUUAUUGUCUUUUCCUCAUCUUUACAGCAUCACACCCCCUUCCUCAUCUUCCUCAGCAUUCUGAAAAUGCUGUGUAUCAAGACAUUGUUGUCCUAUCUUUGUAUGGAUUGUUUAGCCCCUAUUGGAGCUCCUUGAUUCACCCUCUGCAUGGCAUGGGCCUUUUAACAGGCACCCUGAAAAAGGAAUUCUCCCCUCAUUUCUGUGAUGUGCCCUGGGCCCAGUGUGCAAAUAAUUGCUGGCCAAUCUCUGGGACUUGAGUCUGAAUGUCACACCAAUGCCCUCAGCUUCACAUGGAAAGAAGAAACUCAUCCUCUCUGAACAUGUGCGCAAAACAAUCAGCUAGUCAACCACCAACUUCCAUUCGUAUCCUUUGGACAGAUUCUUGCUUUUUGAAGACCUUGCUGACUCCUGUUCUUGUCUUGCGGUAGCAUGGGGAAUAUAGAGAAAGCACUGUUUCUAUUGUUGCAAAAGAGAUUUUGACAUCAUGUCCUCCAGAAUGACAGUGUGUUCCCCUGCUUUAUAGAAGUGGGAAUCUGACACAAGAUAAAUGCCUUGAUCUGAAGGUAAGGACUCAGCUUUGGUCAAAGCUCUUGGUAGCCAUGGGGUAUGGCAAGGUUAAGAGCUCUGCCUUUAGAUUUGGAAAUGGAUUUAUACCCCCUUUCUCUUCCUGCAGAUUUGGUUCCACUGGCCAGAAGGGAAACAUUUUGACAUCACCUACUGGCUCAAAGAUCACAAUUUUUGAAAGUGCUGCUCUUGAAAUAUUGAUGUGUUCUACCUGUGCUCCUGAGGUGUGGCACUCCCUAAGGGUCUGACCAAGGGCUCAGAAAGUCCUCAUGUCUCCCUCACCUCUUUAUGGCCCAAAGUGGCUACCCCUCUGAGAGGUAUGGAGCCUAUUCCUUUUAUGCAGAGCUAAGAAUUAUGGACUUCGUAAUAUAAAUAUGACAUUAUUUGGAUUCCGGAAGAAACAAAAGUCAAUGUUUGGGAAUUUUUUCCAUUAGAUGUUAAAGCAAUGGCUUCAACCAAAAUUUAAGCCACUCUGGAAAGGAAAAGGAUGGGCAGUAGCAAGGAAAUCAGACCAUUGUGCACAAGAGAUUUGUUAGGGCAGUUUCUAACUAAAUCAAGGCAUAAUUGUUGAAAUGACUGUAAAAGUCAGCAGCAAGCAGGGUUUCAAUCUAUUUUGCUAUUCAGGAAGUUCCAGAUUCAGUUUUUCACCCCUAACACAACCCAAGAACCCUUCCUACUCCACCACCUUUCGAUCUAAUUCCAUGUAUGUCUCUGGCAAGCAAAUCGAAUUACAUCAUUAAGGGCUGACCUCAAAAGCAUUACAGAGCAUAUGCAAGGUUCCACAACUAACCUAUGUGAUUACCUCAGCAGCCCCCACCAGUCCUGUCAGGGAGGGAAGCAAAGAAUCCAUUAUUGAUCUAGGAGAUUAAGCUCUUCCCUGCUUUGAGAUUCUUUGUCUAUAGAAAUAUCAUUUAAACUAAGGGUUAAACUAAUGAGUGGUUUUGUUAUUUUUGAUGAGGGGGAGGGGCAGGGGUUAAAAAAAACUAUUACCAUAUAGAUUAAAGAAAACAGAGGCCAUUCUUAGGGAAAGGGGGGUAAAGGAAAAGGGGGCACUGCCAGCCACAAAUAAGGAAACAUCUAAUAGUGCAACAACAUUAAUUACAUUUUUUCCCAGUUCCUACAUUAGAGUUGUUAGAAAUAUGAAAUUCCAUAUUAUAGUCUAAGUUAAAAAGGAGCUGAUUUGAUAAAUCCUUACCAACCCUCAAUUCCCCUUUCCACCUAUUGAAGAGUUUUCUGUAUAUGUAUUUAUGAGGUUUUUAAUUUUCUCUUAGCUUCUUUUUACCUACACUACACAAUUUGAUUGCAUUAAUCAGGAAUAUCUUGUGUAGAAAUUAGCCUAAAAGACAAAAAAAAAAAAAAAAAAAAAAAGAUUGUGGAAUGAACAUUGUCAGGCUGAAGAUAGGGUCCCUCCAGAAGAGAGAGGCCAGGGGAUGUGAUUAACCUUUUUCUGGUCUCUGGAGAUUUUUUUAUUCUUUUCUUAGUCCUGUCGUAAUUUGCAAAAUCAGGUUUAAUGACUUGUAAAAGUUGUAAGGCAUCUCCUUCCCUGUUGUUUUCCCUCCAGCCCUGUUACUCUCCACAAUGCCCUCAAUACCCAGAGUUAUCAUUAAAAUCUGGUCCCAUCACUCUUCACCAUAUACAUCACCUAAUAAGAGGAUUCAAAUCUAAAUCCUUGCUCCAACCCUUUUUGGAGGUGGAUUUAAAUGUAAAUCCCUAUUCCUCUUCCACCCACUCCCAGCUGUUAUAUUAUCCCAAGAAAUUGAUCUUAGCUUAUGUUCAGAGUUACAAAGUGAGAAAAGGGACCUGUGCAUUGUACUGAUUCCUCAAACCAUCAUGGAAUGUUUAAGUAAUAGUGGAAGGGCAAGAAGCCAGAACUGGGGCUGGGAAAAGUUGGGGGGGAGGGUAAGGGGGGGAGAAAAAGAAAGGAGCUUACAUUGAAGUGAGAACAACACUCAGUUUAAACCUUUGAAAAUUUCUGCUGAAAGAGUGAGAAAGAUGAACUCUUGAGAACAAGCUUGUGUCUCUGGAUUCCAGGGCCGCUGAAAGUCCUGCUCUUGGGUCAUCUCUGAUGGACCCUCUCUACUAUUUGCAUAGUUACCUCUGUUACAAGAAAAACCAACUGACCUCAUUUUGUGCCUGGAAGCUUAUUUUGAGUUCUGUUGAGUACUGCGUGUACAUAAGCUUAUUUUCCAUCCCUCUCCACCAGAGGAGACCUUGGUGACAUGGGGUGGGGUAGAGAAGCUAGCUGAUUUGCAUCUACUACUCUUUAAUCUGCAUUCAGGAAGAAAAAAGGUCUUCCAUCCAGCUUUCUGGCAAAAGGAACAGUGGGCCUUGGCCCACUUGAAGAUAAUGGGGUUGUUGGGCAUCUUGUAUUGCAAAUGGUCAGACCCCCAGAAGUUCUGAAGAGCUGGGCACUUGGACCAGCACAAAUAGGAAUGUUGCACCCCGGUUUAAUGUGCCCAUAAGGGUCUUUUUGUAUACCCUGGAAAACACUGCAUCUGCCGAGAUUGAAUGAAAUGUUACUGAAUCCCCACUAAGGGCCUUUGUCACCAUGACAAGUAUAAUGGUUCCUUCUGAUGAGUACCCAUUCAACAAACACAAGUAGGUGGCAGAAGGCAUCUGCAGCAGGCCCAAGAUACAGCCCAGGCCAGACCUCCUAUUGAUGGGCUACUGUUUGAGGCCAAUGAACCACUAAAGCAGUAUUCCCCAAAGAGCAGCCCCAAGCGGAUACUCUAAACAUCUCAAUAGCUGAAUACCUCAUCCCAGCCCCACAAAGUUCAUUAAUUUGUUCCCCACAAAAUGGAGUCAUCCACAAGGAGGUGAUGAAUCCUGAUUGUGUUAUGUGUCACAACUGAGUGGCCCCAGUUUUCCUUCUUCUCUCCCCUAUUCCCCCCACCCAUGACACACUGAAAUGAUUUGUUGCAUUUUUGCCUCCACUCUGUGUUGUUGGGCUUACCAAGAAGGAGAAUACAAGAGUUCUUGGGGCAAGGGAGGAGAGGGGAUGAUAAUGGACCAAGGCACGAUUUCUCAUCCUGGGACCUUCUCCAAGGACUCAGAACAGCCAUUUUGCCCCCACCUUCACUUGUCUUUAGAUUUCCUGUGGUCCUGUCCUCCUUCCUCAGAAAAGCAAAACCCUGCACUCAGGCCUACCAGGUUGCUUCUGAUUCUGGAAGUCUCCAGUUGACACAAGAAUAAAAAUACCUGCAGUCCAUGUCAUUUCUUGAGUCUUACUCUAUAAAGAGUAUCAUGUUACAAUUGUAUGUAAGUAGGUAUGUAGUUUAUGAUAUAUGGGGGGAGGGGGAGGGGAUAGAAAAAAAUCCAAACUUCUGUUGAUAGUCAUGUUUCUAUUUUUUGCUUUAAGACAUGAACUCCCUUUUUUGAAGUCCUUUUCCCCCCAGAGAGCUGUAAAGUGAUGCUAAUUGUUCUUUUCUCAGUUGGCGGCAUUAACUAAGUCUUCAUUGAGGAGAGGGGAAAAAAGGCAAAACUAUUUAUAAUGUCUAGUGAAUGAAUUGCCUUACCCCACUGAGGAUGACUCCUGAUACCCCAGUUCUCCCUUGAGCGUAAAACUGUAAAUACUCUACUGAAUGACAUGCACCCUCUCACCUGUCUUGUCUCCAGUGGCUGCUAUUGCUAAGAAAGUGGAUGGUGUUUGAAUUCUUGUACUGUACAAAAGGCAUUUCUCUGAUAUCAUUUAGGCCGCAGCCCUUCUCCUCAGAACCAUCCUCAACCUAGACACCCUCUCCCCUCCCCCCGACUUUAGCUAAUGCAAUACAUGUGGUCACUGAUGGAACCUCUUCCACUCUACUGUUUGUCACUGCAGACUUGCAGCUUGUGUCCUGCUCACCCCCUGGGUUACUCCUGUUUGUUCUCUCCACAGUAGCUCCUUGUUGGCCUUCUGGUGGCAAAAUUGCAUCAAUGUCUGACUGAUCCAGUCUCACAGCGUAACUGAUUUAAACAACAAAAAAAAAAAAACCUUGUGUGUCUUAAUCCUCAAAGAGGGUUCCCCUAUACUCAAUCCCCGUUUUGUCUGGUAUUUGACAAUCGAGGCGUGUCCUCCUCUUUGACGAUGUCUCUUGACCCCAGAAUUCUUCUGUAGACCCUUGCCACCACUGCUGACACAGAAUAACACUUGUAUGCAAACCCCUUGUCCUGACUUCUCCCCACCUCUUUUUACUUUGAAAAGGUGAUCUCUAAUAAAUAAGGUGACAAAG